rnacentral:tRNA from 1 species
UGGGAAUUAGUUUAAUUAAAAACAUUUUAUUGUCUAUAAAAAAAUAUUCAAGGAUAUUCCU